AGGUCGUUUUUAGGGCAAUUUUGAAGUAGACCCUUGUAGCAUUCCCAUGCUUCAUACAACGACUCUUCCAUUUGUUGUUUAAAGUUAGCAAUGACCUUUUUGUAACU